rnacentral:rRNA from 1 species
GGAUGAACGCUGGCGGCGUGCCUAAUACAUGCAAGUCGAGCGAACAGACGAGGAGCUUGCUCCUUUGACGUUAGCGGCGGACGGGUGAGUAACACGUAGGUAACCUACCUAUAAGACUGGGAUAACUUCGGGAAACCGGAGCUAAUACCGGAUAAUAUUUCGAACCGCAUGGUUCGAUAGUGAAAGAUGGCUUUGCUAUCACUUAUAGAUGGACCUGCGCCGUAUUAGCUAGUUGGUAAGGUAACGGCUUACCAAGGCAACGAUACGUAGCCGACCUGAGAGGGUGAUCGGCCACACUGGAACUGAGACACGGUCCAGACUCCUACGGGAGGCAGCAGUAGGGAAUCUUCCGCAAUGGGCGAAAGCCUGACGGAGCAACGCCGCGUGAGUGAUGAAGGUCUUCGGAUCGUAAAACUCUGUUAUUAGGGAAGAACAAACGUGUAAGUAACUGUGCACGUCUUGACGGUACCUAAUCAGAAAGCCACGGCUAACUACGUGCC